GUCUCGAUAGCUAAGUGGUAUAGCAUGCGAUUGCAGCUCAGCUUAUAUCGCAGGGUCCGGUGUUCGAACCACCGUCGGGACU